GUUAGUGCUUAAAUAAGAUUUAGUUCAUUGUAAACACCAUUGGUGUUACACACAUCAUGUGUAUAUACCUUGAUUAUUAUAUCAUAUAGCAAUAGUGUAAGAAAUAUAUGAUUUGCAAUCACAUAUUGGUGUAUAUUUUUAAGUAUGGUGAUUUGGAUUCAAAUUUUAGGGUACCUUAUGUUAUUUUUAAUAAUGGUAUACAUGGGUAAUAUAGAUGCAAAUUUAAGGGAUCAUUUUAAGUUACUUUUUAAGUAUUAGUGGUGGGCAAUUCACAUAUUGGUGUAUAUUUUUAAUUAAGGUGAUUUGGAUUCAAAUUUUGAGUUACCUUAUGUUAUUUUUAAUAAUGGUAUAUAUGGGUAGAUGCAAGUUUAAGGGGUUAUUUUAAGUUAUUUUUUUUAUUAGUGGUGGAAAAUUUAGUUGGAAAUUUAGAGGGUUAUUUUAAAUUAUUUUUUAUAAUAGUAUAAGGGGGUAAUUUUGAUGAAGAUUAGGGGUUACUUUAGUUUAUUUUAUAUACGACAGAAGUGGGUAAUUUAAAUAUAGAUUUAGGGGUUACUUUAGACUAUUUUCAUAAUGGUAUAGGUGGGGUUACUUUAAAUUAUUUUUGGAGUAUUAGUGGUGGAAAAUUUAGUUGCAAAUUUAGGGGGUUAUUUGAAAUUAUUUUGAUAAUGGUACAAGUGGGUAAUUUUGAUGAAGAUUAAGGGUUACUUUAGUUUAUUUUAUAUAAUGGUAGAAGUGGGCAAUUUAGAUAUAUGUUUAGGGGAUUACUUUAGGCUAUUUUCAUAAUGGCAUAGGUGAGUAAUUUUUUUAGAAAACAUAAUAAAUCCAAUAGUUAUGAUGAUUUGAGUUUACCGAUUGAUGCCUAGACGUUUUGCUUUUUUAUGAGAAUUUCUUGAAUUUCUCUCUUUUUCUAGAGUCUC
rnacentral:lncRNA from 1 species